CCUACGGGCGGCUGCAGUGGGGAAUUUUGGACAAUGGGGGCAACCCUGAUCCAGCCAUUCCGCGUGAGUGAAGAAGGCCUUCGGGUUGUAAAGCUCUUUCGGCCGGGAAGAAAUCGCACCUCCUAAUACGGGGUGUGGAUGACGGUACCGGAAGAAGAAGCACCGGCUAACUACGUGCCAGCAGCCGCGGUAAUACGUAGGGUGCGAGCGUUAAUCGGAAUUAGUGGGCGUAAAGUGGUAGGACAGAUGUGAAAUCCCCGGGCUUAAACUGGGAACUGCGUUUGUGACUGCGAGACUUGAGUGCGGCAGAGGGGGGUGGAAUUCCACGUGUAGCAGUGAAAUGCGUAGAGAUGUGGAGGAACACCGAUGGCGAAGGCAGCCCCCUGGGUCGACACUGACGCUCAUGCACGAAAGCGUGGGGAGCAAACAGGAUUAGAUACCCGAGUAGUC
rnacentral:rRNA from 1 species